rnacentral:rRNA from 1 species
ACGCUGGCGGCAGGCCUAACACAUGCAAGUCGAGCGGUAGAGAGAAGCUCGCUUCUCUUGAGAGCGGCGGACGGGUGAGUAAUGCCUAGGAAUCUGCCUGGUAGUGGGGGAUAACGUUCGGAAACGGACGCUAAUACCGCAUACGUCCUACGGGAGAAAGCAGGGGACCUUCGGGCCUUGCGCUAUCAGAUGAGCCUAGGUCGGAUUAGCUAGUUGGUGGGGUAAUGGCUCACCAAGGCGACGAUCCGUAACUGGUCUGAGAGGAUGAUCAGUCACACUGGAACUGAGACACGGUCCAGACUCCUACGGGAGGCAGCAGUGGGGAAUAUUGGACAAUGGGCGAAAGCCUGAUCCAGCCAUGCCGCGUGUGUGAAGAAGGUCUUCGGAUUGUAAAGCACUUUAAGUUGGGAGGAAGGGCAGUUGCCUAAUACGUAACUGUUUUGACGUUACCGACAGAAUAAGCACCGGCUAACUCUGUGCCAGCAGCCGCGGUAAUACAGAGGGUGCAAGCGUUAAUCGGAAUUACUGGGCGUAAAGCGCGCGUAGGUGGUUUGUUAAGUUGGAUGUGAAAUCCCCGGGCUCAACCUGGGAACUGCAUUCAAAACUGACUGACUAGAGUAUGGUAGAGGGUGGUGGAAUUUCCUGUGUAGCGGUGAAAUGCGUAGAUAUAGGAAGGAACACCAGUGGCGAAGGCGACCACCUGGACUGAUACUGACACUGAGGUGCGAAAGCGUGGGGAGCAAAC